AGUGAACGCUGGCGGUAGGCCUAACACAUGCAAGUCGAACGGCAGCACAGUAAGAGCUUGCUCUUACGGGUGGCGAGUGGCGGACGGGUGAGGAAUACAUCGGAAUCUACUUUUUCGUGGGGGAUAACGUAGGGAAACUUACGCUAAUACCGCAUACGACCUACGGGUGAAAGCAGGGGAUCUUCGGACCUUGCGCGAUUGAAUGAGCCGAUGUCGGAUUAGCUAGUUGGCGGGGUAAAGGCCCACCAAGGCGACGAUCCGUAGCUGGUCUGGGAGGAUGAUCAGCCACACUGGAACUGAGACACGGUCCAGACUCCUACGGGAGGCAGCAGUGGGGAAUAUUGGACAAUGGGCGCAAGCCUGAUCCAGCCAUACCGCGUGGGUGAAGAAGGCCUUCGGGUUGUAAAGCCCCUUUGUUGGGAAAGAAAAGCAGCAGGUUAAUAUCCCGCUGUUCUGACGGUACCCAAAGAAUAAGCACCGGCUAACUUCGUG
rnacentral:rRNA from 1 species